UGGCUACUGGGUGUAAAAGAUAAAUCAAAAUCUUCUAUCUGUUCUUAAUGAGUUUUAGAUAAUUUUAGUUGUAUUUCUUUGUAAUUUUGUGUUGUACAAAGAUUAAUUUAACAUUUUCUCUGGAAGUAUUAAUUUAGAAAGAUAAUUAUGCUUCAUUGGUGUUGUGUUUUGAAGUGUUAAAUGCAAAGUAAUUGUGAGAAAGUUCACUUUUAAACUGAACUAAAUAAGGUAUCUGAGAGACAACAAUGGUUAAAUGCAAUACAAUGUACAGGUUUUACUAGCGAAAUGAAAAUUUUCCUGUCCUGUCUGCUGUAAUCAUUUUAUAUCUGGAAAACCAGCCGACUUAAUCGAUAAUAACAAUCUCCAGAUUGGGUUCCUUCAAUAAAUAUGGGCUAUAAACACAAUGAAAUAAGUUCCCCAAAAUCUAAAAUGGAGUGCUAUCAAAGGAGAA
rnacentral:lncRNA from 1 species